rnacentral:tRNA from 1 species
GGGCCGGUAGCUCAGCCUGGUAGAGCACCUGACUUUUAAUAACAAAGAAGGCAUCAGGUGGUCGCGAGUUCGAAUCUCGUCCGGCCCG